UCCAUUAGAGAAGCCCCUGACUGCAGUGUGCAGUUCGGGGCAGGGAUCAAUGUGGGCAGGGUCAAACGCGUUUAACCGAACCCUUCCCGGCUCCUUCAAGGUCAUCCAAGUUGAGACGAUACUGAAAACAAAAUGCACAGCGAACUGAGAGCUGUGAACUGGAAAAAGGGACACCCUAGAGGCAGCAAGGUGGAGGGAGUAAGAUCCCUAGAAAGCAGAAAACUGCAAGACAACCAAAGGACCCUAGAGACCUCUGCAUGCUGUGACAUGGGCCUGGAUGGUGAAACAUCUGCUUCCAGCUGCCUGACUGAAUAUUGGGGCCUUCAGUUGUACCUUACAUCACAGCAAGAGUCUCCUUAUCUCUGUCUCAUAGUCAUUUAAACAUGUAUUAUGUAUCCACUCAUUCAUGAAAACUGCUACAGACACAAGAACUGCACCUGAGUGAUGAUAGCCAGCUAGCCGAGCCAUUGCGUGAGAGAUCAAAUCAAACUUUGUCACAUGCACCGAAUACAACAAGUGUGGACUUUACCUUGAAAUGCUUACUUACAAGCCCUUAACCAACAGUGCAGAUCAAUAAGAAAAUAUUUAC